rnacentral:rRNA from 1 species
GUACGGGAGGCAGCAGUGGGGAAUUUUCCGCAAUGGGCGAAAGCCUGACGGAGCAAUACCGCGUGAGGGAGGAAGGCUCUUGGGUUGUAAACCUCUUUUGAUCGGGAAGAAGACAGUGACGGUACCGAUCGAAUCAGCAUCGGCUAACUCCGUGCCAGCAGCCGCGGUAAUACGGAGGAUGCAAGCGUUAUCCGGAUUUAUUGGGCGUAAAGCGUCCGCAGGUGGUUGAGCAAGUCUGCUGUCAAAGCGCGGAGCUUAACUCCGUAAAGGCAGUGGAAACUGUUUAACUUGAGUACGGUAGGGGUAGCGGGAAUUCCCAGUGUAGCGGUGAAAUGCGUAGAUAUUGGGAAGAACACCAGCGGCGAAAGCGCGCUACUGGGCCUGUACUGACACUGAGGGACGAAAGCUAGGGGAGCGAAAGGGAUUAGAUACCCCGGU